GGCUACACUAGAACUAUCAGUGCCCGGAUAACAGGCCAUCUACAGUGUAAGCUGCGCGGACCCUCCACGAAUAGUGUCCCGUGGUGAAUGUAUGCAGCCACUAUAUAAUUGUUACCUGCUGAGUUGUUUCCCCCGAAUGAACGUACUUCCGGUCCAGGGGUAUAUAGGUAUCUGGGGCAUUGCUAGACAUAGCAUGCAUCCUGGGAACACGCGGCAGAUCACAGCACACGGUUGGGCUGAGCCGCUGUCGUGAACUACCAUGACCUCAGGACACAUUACAUCUUGAGCAUGAUCACCAUAGUUACUUCAGGACCACCCACGAAGCUGGCAUGUCUCCGGCCGUGAACAUUGUUAUUUUGUUUUUAAGCUCCGUUAAGUGACCGCUGGUUCCUGUGUGAGUCUCCUGUGCAUUGUUUAAUGAUUGCACAUUUUGAAAUAUGAUAUCGUACUGCCUUUCUUGAAAAAGAUCCUGUGGAAGGAUCGAAACGUCGAUUUAUGAAGGCUGCAAUAAAGAACAUUGGAUAUUAAUCAAAGUUUGUGAAUAUAUAUAUGUGUAAGAGUGCGCCCGCCACCUUCGUGGACAUCUAUAGAUUCAGCGGACCUUGUUCUGUUGGGACAGCACCCACCCUGAAAUUUUGAUGCGAGUACAGGACUCUCUUUGUAUAUAUAUAUAUAUAUAUAUAUAUAUA